rnacentral:rRNA from 1 species
AGCUCCAAUAGCGUAUAUUAAAGUUGUUGCAGUUAAAAAGCUCGUAGUUGGAUCUCGGCCGUGGACGAGCGGUCCGCCUCACGGCGGUUUACUGCUCGAUUUCUGGGCCGCUACUUUGGUUAAAAACCCGGGUUUCUGCUCUUGACUGAGUGGCCCGGGUGGCCGAAACGUUUACUUUGAAAAAAUUAGAGUGUUCAAAGCAGUCGUUUCCCGUCCGAAUAAUGGUGCAUGGAAUAAUGGAAUAGGACCUCGAGUCUAUUUUGUUGGUUUUGAGAAGUUCGAGGUAAUGAUUAAGAGGGACGGCCGGGGGCAUUCGUAUUGCGGCGUUAGAGGUGAAAUUCUUGGAUCGUCGCAAGACGAACAACAGCGAAAGCAUUUGCCAAGAAUGUUUUCA